AUUGAACGCUGGCGGCAGGCUUAACACAUGCAAGUCGAGCGGGGUGAUGGUGCUUGCACUAUCACUUAGCGGCGGACGGGUGAGUAAUGCUUAGGAAUCUGCCUAUUAGUGGGGGACAACAUCUCGAAAGGGAUGCUAAUACCGCAUACGUCCUACGGGAGAAAGCAGGGGAUCACUUGUGACCUUGCGCUAAUAGAUGAGCCUAAGUCGGAUUAGCUAGUUGGGGGGGUAAAGGCCUACCAAGGCGACGAUCUGUAGCGGGUCUGAGAGGAUGAUCCGCCACACUGGGACCGGGACACGGCCCAGACUCCUACGGGAGGCAGCAGUGGGGAAUAUUGGACAAUGGGGGGAACCCUGGUCCAGCCAUGCCGCGUGUGUGAAGAAGGCCUUAUGGUUGUAAAGCACUUUAAGCGAGGAGGAGGCUCUUUUGGUUAAUACCCAAGAUGAGUGGACGUUACUCGCAGAAUAAGCACCGGCUAACUCUGUGCCAGCAGCCGCGGUAA
rnacentral:rRNA from 1 species